AAGACUAUAGACCUGCGGAGUACCUGCGGAGGGAUCAUUGCCACACACGAUCCAAGAUCGACACUUUUUGUGAACCGUAACCGUGAUUCUAUUAACCGUUAAAAGGAGCCGAAAGAUUCGGGUAAAACUGAGUUUUUGGCGAUUUUUUCUGGUUGAUAGCUUUUUAAACACCUUAUAACAUGAAUUAUGCAUUGGAACAAAAAGAGUUUAUGACAAGUUUGUCUUGUUAUAAAUACUAGA
rnacentral:misc_RNA from 1 species